AAAUCUGAAGUAUAAAAGUAAAUAAAUAAAAAAUGGCUAUCUUGCUGAUAGCAAUCUACUGAUUCAAUACAAUCUAUCAAAAUUCCAAUUCAAUCCUUCAUAGAGUCAGAAAGAUGAAUUUGGAAAUUCACUUGGAAUAACAACAACAAAAAAAAAAACAAGGAUAGAGAAAACUAUCCUCAACAUAAAGAAAUAAUAACAAUAAAAGAUAGAAUCACCAUCCUUGACCUCAAGCUGUAUUACAGAGCAAUAGUUUUAAAACUGUAUGGUAUUAAAACAGAGACAAGCAGGUAGAUCAAUGUAAUAGAAUUGAGGACACAGAAAUGAACAAAUACUCCUAUGGUCCCUUGAUGUUUGACAAAUGAAAUAUAACCUUACAGUAGAAAAAAGAUAGCUUUUUCAAUAAUUGUUGCUGGAUCAACUGGAAGUUCGCACCCAGAAGAAUGCAAAUUGAUCUUCUUCCCUAGUGCAAAGCUCAAGGGCAAGUGGAUCAAGGACAUCCACAUAAAAAGAAAACACUCAAAGCCAUAGGGGAAACUGUGGAGAAAAGCCUCGAACGUAGGGACUCUGCGGAAAUUUUCCUGAAAAGAAACACCAAUGGCUUCUGCUCAAGGACUUUCAAAUGGGACCUCAUAAUAUUGCAAAGCUUCUCCAAGGCAAAGGAUACUGUCUUUAGGACAAAAUGGCAACCAAGAGAUUGGGAAAAGGUCUUCACCUCUCCUACAUUCAAUAGAGGUCUAAUAUCCAAUAUGUACUAAGAACUCAAGAACUUAGACUCCAGAGAGCCAAAUAAUCCUAUUAGAGAAAUGGAUAUAGAACUAAACAGAGAAAUCUCAGCUGAGGAAUAUCGAAUAACUGAAAAGUACCUGUAGAAAUGUUCUUCAACAACCUUAGUCAUUAGGGGAAUGCAAAUCAAAACAAUGCUGAGAUUCUACUUCACACCCCUCAGAGUGGCUAGGAACAAAACUCAGGUGACCACAGAUUCUGACAAGAAUGUGUAGAAAGCAGAACACUCCUCCACUGUUACUUGGAUAGCGAGCUGGUACAACUGCUCUGGUAUUCAGCUGGGGGUUUCCUCAGAAAAUUGGACAUAGUACUACCUGAGGACCCAGGUAUACCCAUUUCUGGGCAUAGAGCCAAUAGAUGCUCCAACAUAUAACAGACAAACAUGCUCCAGUAAGUCCAUGGCAGCCUUAUUUUUAAUAGCUAGAAGCUGGAAAGACCCCAGAAGUCCAUCAACAAAAGAAUGGAUACAGAGAAUGUGGUACAAUUACACAAACGCAGUACUACUCAGCUAUUAAAAAGCAAUGACUUCAUGAAAUUCAUAGGCAAAAGGAUGGAACUAGAAAAUAUCAUCUUGAGUGAGGUGACCCCAGAAAAUAACACAGAUGGUGUGCACUCACUGAUAAGUGAAUAGUGUCCAUUUGUUUCUACUUGGCUGAUUUCAGCUCUGAGUUUGAUUAUUUCCUGCCGUCUACUCCUCCUGGGUGUAUUUACUUCUUUUUGUUCUAGAGCUUUUAGGUGUGCUGUCAAGGUGGUGACAUAUGCUGUUUCCUGUUUCUUUCUGCAGGCACUCAGAGCUAUGGGUUUUCUUCUUAGCACAGCUUUCAUUGUGUCCCAUAAGUUUGGGUAUGUUGUACCUUCGAUUUCAUUAAAUCUAAGAAGUCUUUAAUUUCUUUCUUUAUUUCUUCCUUGACCAGGUUAUCAUUGAGUAGAGCAUUGUUCAACUUCCACGUAUAAGUAGGCAUUCUUCCAUUAUUGUUAUUGAAGACCAGAUUUAGGCCGUGGUGGUCUGAUAGCACCCAUGGGAUUAUUUCUAUCUUUCUGUACCUAUUGAGGCCUGUUUUUUGACCAAUUAUAUGGUCAAUUUUGGAGAAAGUACCAUGAGGACCUGAGAAGAAGGUAUAUCCUUUUGCUUUAGGAUAGAAUGUUCUAUAAGUAUCUGUUAAGUCUAUUUGGUUCAUGAUUUCUCUUAGUCUGUCUACGUCUCUGUUUAAUUAGUGUUUCCAUGAUCUGUCCAUUGAUGAGAGUGGGGUGUUGAAAUCUCCUACUAUUAUUGUGUGAGGUGCAAUGUGUGUUUUGAGCUUUAGUAAGGUUUCUUUUAUGUAUGUAGAUGCCCUUGUAUUUGGGGCAUAGAUAUUUAGGAUUGAGAGUUCAUCUUGGUGGAUUUUUCCUUUGAUGAAUAUGAAGUGUCCUUCCUUAUCUUUUUUGAUGACGUUUAGUUGGAAAUUGAUUUUAUUUGAUAUUAGAAUGGCUACUCCAGCUUGCUUCUUCAGACCAUUUGCUUGGAAAGUUGAUUUCCAGCCUUUUACUCUGAGGUAGAGUCUGUCUUUGUCUCUGAGGUGUGUUUCCUGUAGGGAAUGCAGGGUCCUCAUUGCAUAUCCAGUGUGUUAAUCUAUGUCUUUUUAUUGGGGAGUUGAGGCCAUUGAUGUUGAGAGAUAUUCAGGAAUAUUUAUUUAUUAUCCUUUGUAGUGCUGGAUUUGUAGAAAGAUAUUGUGUAAAUUUGGUUUUGUCAUGGAAUAUCUUGGUUUCUCCAUCUAUGUUAAUUAAGAGUUUUGCAGGAUAAAGUAACCUGGGCUGGCAUUUGUGUUCUCUUAGGGUCUGUAUGACAUCUGUCCAGGAUCUUUUGGCUUUCACAGUUUCUGGUGUGAUUCUGAUAGGUCUGCCUUUAUGUUACUUGAUCUUUUUCCCUUACUGCUUUUAAUAUUCUUUAUUUUGUGCGUUUGGUGUUUUGACUAUUAUGUGACGGGAGCUGUUUCUUUUCUGGUCCAAUCUAUUUGGAGUUCUGUAGGCUUCGUGUAUGCUUAUGGGUAUCUCUUCCUUUAGGUUAGGGACGUUUUCUUCUAUGAUUUUGUUGAAAAUAUUUACUGGUCCUUUGAUCUAGGAGUCUUCACUCUCUUCUAUAGCUAUAUCCUUAGUUUUGAUCUUCUCAUUGAGUCCUGGAUUUCCUGUAUGUUUUGGACCAGUAGCUUUUUCUGCUUUACAUUAUCUUUCACAGUUGAGUCGAUAGUUUUCUAUAGAAUCUUCUGCUCCUGAGAUUCUCUCUUCUAUCUCUUGUAUUCUGUUGGUGAAGCUCGUAUCUACAGCUCCUUGUCUCUUCUUUUGGUUUUCUAUAUUCAGGGUUGUUUCCAUGUGUUCUUUCUUGAUUGCUUCUAUUUCCAUUUUUAAUUCCUUCUAGUGUUUGUGUUUUCCUGGAAUCCUUUCAGGGAUUUUUGUGAUUCCUCUCUGUAGGCUUCUACUUGUUUAUUUAUGUUUUCCUGCAUUUCUCUAAGGGAGUUCUUCAUGUCUUUCUUGAAGUCCUCCAGUAUCGAUCAAAUAUGAUUUUGAAAAUAUAUCUUGCUUUUCUGGUAUGUUUGGAUAUUCCGUGUUUGCUUUGGUUGGAGAAUUGGGAUCCGAUGAUGUCAUGUAGUCUUGGUUUCUGUUGCUAGGGUUACUGUGCUUGCCUCUUGCCAUCAGAUUAUCUCUAGUGUUUCUUUCUUCUGCUAUUUCUGACAGUGGCUAGACUGUCCUAUAAGCCUGUGUGUCAGGAGUGCUGUAGACCUGUUUUCCUGUUUUCUUUCAGCCAGUUAUGGGAACAGAGUGUUCUGCUUUGGGGCGUGUAGUUUUUCCUCUCUACAGGUCUUCAGCUGUUCCUGUGGGCCUGUGCCCUGAAUUCACCAGGCAGGUCACUUGGAGCAGAAAAGUUGGUCUUAUCUGUGGUCCCGAGGCUCAAGAUUGCUCGUGGGGUGUUGCUCAUGAUCUCUCCUCAGGGGCAGCAACCAGGAGGACCUGCGCCGCCCUUUCUGGGAGCCCCCCGUGCACCAGAGUCCCAGAUGGCAUUUGGUGUUUUCCUCUGGAGUCAGAGAUGUGGGCAGAGUGUAGUCUUUUCUGGUCUUCCAGGCAUGUCUGCCUCUCUGACGGUUUAGCUCUCCCUCUCCCAGGAUUUGGGUGCAGAGAACCGUUUAUCUGGCUGGUCUCUUCAGGUUCCUGCGGUGUCUCAGAUGCAGCGGACCUGCUGCUCCUGUGCCCUUAUCUACGGGAACCCAGAGACCGUUCCUCUUGGGCCAGGUAUAUGGGCAGGGGUGGACAGUGUUGGUGGUCUCUUCUGCUCUGCAGUCUCAGGAGUGCCCACCUGUCCGGGCGGUGAGCUCUCUCUCCCACGGGGUUUGGGAGCAGUGAGCUGGAGGCAGGGAGCAUGAGAUUCGGACUCCCGCUAAAAACCGGAAGUGUCCGGUUCUUCCACGGGGUUUGGGAGCCAUACAUCACUUUCUUUAUUCAUUGUUCAGUAGAGGGACAUCCAGGUUGUUUCCAGAUUCUGGUUAGUAUGAACAAAGCUACUAUGAACAUAGUUUGACAAGUGUUUCUUUGGUACAGUGUGACAUCUUUAUGACUACACACCCAGGAGCGUUAUAGCUGGCCCUUGAGGUAAUACAGUUUUUUUCUCUCAGUUUUGUGAGAAACCACCCAAUUGAUUUCCAAAGUUGUUGUUCAAAGUUUCACGUCCAUCAGUGAUGGAUUAGUGUUCCCUUUGCUCCACAACCUGCCAGCAUUCACUCUCACUUGAGUUUUUCAUCUUUGCUUUUGUGAUGGGUGUCAAAUGACAUGUCAGAGUGGUUUUGAGUAACCAGCUCUUGGUUUUGUUCAUUCUUUGUAUUGUUUCCCAUGUUUCUAUGUUUAAUUUUCAUACCAUCUUCUCUUGAGCGUGUAAGCUUCUGUUUUUAUUUUUAAUAUUGCAUAUGUGCUGAUUAGCUGCUAUUAUGAAAUCUCUCCAUUUCUUUUGAAGGGACAUAGUGUUAUGAACUUUCCUUUUGCACUGCUUUUAUUGUGUUCCCUAAGUUUGUAUGAUUUGUGCCUUCACUUUCAUUGAAUUCUAGAAAGACUUUGAUUUCUUCUUUCAACAGUGGUCACUUAGCAUAGAGUUGUUCAGUUUCCAUGAGAUUGUAGGCUUUCCAUUGUUUUUGUUGUUGACAUAGUCCAACUUUAGUCCAUGGUGACCUUAUCAGACACAAAAGCAUUUUGGUGUUCUUUUGUUGUUGUUGUUGUUUUUGUAUUUUCUUGUAUCUGUUGUAGAUCUGUAUCUGUACAUGUUCAAUUUUGGAGAAGGUUCCAUGAGGUGCUGAGAAGAUACAUAUUUUUUUAUUUGAGUGACAGCUUCUAUAGAUAUCUGUUGUUGUAAAAAUAUUAAAAUAAAAAAGUAAAAGUUGUCUUUUACCCCGCUAGGUCCGCACCUCGUUGCCCCAAGAUAUCUGCUAGAUAUCUUGGCGGAAACACAGCCCAGCCGCACAUUUUCCUACACUCAAACCCUCACAUAAAAGAACACACAACACAAUAAUCUUUGAUCCAAUUGGUAAGGUAUAGUUGCCACUUAAACAUACAAGGCCUGGUACCAUCCAUCCCUUAGGAAGAUUGAUAACAACCUGUAAAUACACAGAGCAGAAUCUUAACAUCACCUGCCAUGGCUCCUCCCCCCUCUCUCUCCUCUUCUCUGUGUUAAUCCCCUUCUCUUCCUUCAAGCUUCUCUCCUGCCCAUCCUUGCUUCUCCUCCAAUGUCAGGUCUCCUACUAUCCUGUACCUGCCCCUCACCUGUAUUUUACAAAUUCAAUGGGGAGGUGGUUCUGGUGAAGUCAUCUGAGUUCUGAGUCUGUGACUAGGCAGCUGUCCUUGGGGCAGUGGAAUUAGCAUCAAAAUACAGAAACUUCAGGGCAAACCACCACAGAUAUCUGUUAGGUCCAUUUGAUUCAUGCCAUCUACUAGUUGCAUUACAUUUCAGUUUAGUUUCUCUUUUGGUGACAUGCCUGUUGGUCAUUAACGUGAUAAUAUGUAGGUGAUGUCCCCUACUAUAAUGUGUGGAAUUGGAGGUGUGGUUUAAGCUUUAACAAAAUUAGUAAAUGUUUCUUUUGUAAAGGAGGAUGCACUUAUAUCGCAAGCAUUGAUGUUUAGAAUUGAAGCAUCAUCUUGUUGGAUUUUCCUUUGAUUUAUAUGCAGUGUCCUUUCCCAUCUCUUUUAAUUAUUUCUCAUUGAAAGUCUAUUUUACCAGAUAUUAGAUUGGCUGCUGCAGCUUGACUCUUGGGUCCAUUUGCUUUACAGACCUUUUGUCCAGUCCUUUAUUCUGUGGCAGUGUUUAUCUUUGUGGCUGAGUUGCAUUUCUAUAUGCAACAGAAGUAUAGAUUCGGUUUAUGCAUCUACUCUCUUAGACUAUGUCUUUUUAUUUGGUAAGUGAAUCUGUUCCUGUUCAGAGAUAUUAAUAAUUAAUGAUUGCUUUUACUUGGUAUUUUGAUUUUGGUUUGCAUGUGUUUCUCUUGGUUGGUUUUACUAUGCGAUUAUUAGUUUCUCGUGUUUCAUUGAGUUCAGUUACUCUCCUUGUCUUGGAGUUUUGCUUGUAGCAUCCUGAUUAGUGAUGGGUUAGUAGAAAGAUAUAGUUUGCGUUUGGUUUUGUCACAGAAUAGCUUUUUACUCCAUCUUGAGUAAAAUUGAUUGAAAAUUUUGCUAAGUAUUGUAGUCUGGGCUGACAGCUAUAGUCUCUUAGGGUCUGUAAGACAUCUCUCUGGCUCUUCUGGCUUUUAAUUCUCUGUUGAGAAGUUUGGUAUAAUUCUGAUUGUUCUGUCUUUAUAUGUAAUAUGUUACUUGCCUCUUUCUCCUUGUGGCUUUUUAAUUUUCUCUCUUUGCUUUGGGGAUUUAAUGUUUUGGUUAUUAUGUAGCUGGAGGAUUUAUUUUCUGACACAGUAAACUCUUAUUUGUACUGUAAGCUUCUUGUGUGUAUGUAGGCAUCUUUUUCUUGAGGUUUGGGAUGUUUUCUUCUAUGAUGUUGUUGAAGAUAUUUUCUGGGCCUUUAAUCUGGGAAUCUUCUUCUCCUGUUCCUAUUUUUCUUAAGUUUGGCCCUGAUUCCACAUCCAGCCUGUCAGGCUGUGCCUUUUUAGUGGGGAAGAUGAGUUCACUGAUAUUGAGAGAUAUUAACAACAAAUGAGUGUUAAUUCCUGCCAUUCUCAUUUUGUGAAUGAGUGAUUAUUAUUUAUUUUUGUUAACACCAAUCAAUUUGGUGUUCUGUAAGGUUCCUCUAAGUUUAUAGGCAUUCUUCCUUUAUGUUGUAUAAAUUUCCUUCUAUGAUUUUGUUGAACAUAUGUUCUCAUCUUUGGAGCUGGUACUCUCUUCACUUUUGAACAAUUCCUAUUAUCCUUAGUACAAAAUUUCACAGUGUCUCAGACUACCUGAAUAUUUUGAGUCAGUAACUUUUUAGGUGAUAUUUUCUUUGGUUGAUGUAUUAAUUUCUUUGAGUAUAUCAUGUAUGCCUGAGAUCAUCUCUUCCAAUUCUUUUAUUGUGUUGGCUGUGCUUCUGUUCUUGUUCUCUUUUGGAGUAUUUCUGUCUCCAAGGUUCCAUCAUUUUGGGUUUCCUUUAUUGCUUCUUUAAUCAUUUGCAGGUGUUGACAUAUUUUAUUCAUUUUGCUCACCUGUUUGAUUGUAUUUUCCUGUAUAUUUUAAGGGAUUUGAUAAUUUCUCCUUUAAAUUCCUCUAUCAUAUUCAUAAGAUUGGAUUCAAUGUCAUUUUAUUGUGUUUUGAUUUUGUUAGCAUAUCCAGGUCUUGAUGUAGUAGGAUAGCUGGGCUCUCGGUGUGUUAUAUUGUUUUGUUCUUGUUGAGUGUAUUCUCAUGCUGGCCUUUAGCCAACUUUUUAUCCAUGGGUGUUUACUGGUGCAAGAGUCAUGAAGUGGGCUCUGGGUUUUUCUCUUUUUAGGGGUUAGGUUAAGAUAUGGUCUCACUAAAUUGUAGCUCUCUUUGUCUAAGGAAUCACAGUGAUCCAUAUGCUUUUGCUUCCUCAGUGUUGGGAUUCAUGUUGUGCGCCACCAGACCCAAUCUGUUAUUCUUUCAAGAAUCAUUAGCCCAGAGUAAAAGGAAUCACAGUUGAUUGUUUUUAUACUGGUAGGGAUGGGGUUUUCUGUCAUUCUGAGAGAGUUCAGUUAGGAUCAUCACAAUUGUUCACGGGUAUUUAUUUCUAGACAUUGAUGUUUGAUAAAUUACUGCCAUCUUUGAUUUGCAAUAUACAGGGAAUGGAUUGGUUCUAAGUGACGUAAUUGGCUACAAAUGAAUAUUUACUCUAGAGUACUCAAUAGAUUGUUCUCAUAGACAUUGAUACUAAAAAUGAGUUUCAUAAUUUUAUUUGUAAUAUUCUUCUAUACUUGUAAUAAUACACAUUUUGUUUUUAUUUUCAGAAGUCUUGUUUUUUAAAGAUGAAAGGCCUUUGUCCUGGUAAGGCUUAACAGUACAUUAGUACUAGAGGAGUGCAAAGAUAAAAAGCAAAUUCUUUUUGGGUAUACUUUGAGACUUGUGUCUUACAGGUCCCACAGUAUUCUGAAUAUAAUUUUAGCCUAAAAUUUGUUCAGUGUACUUUAUAUGAAUGUGAAAAGUAUGCUCACACGCCAUUUCCAAGAAAAAACUAUGCAGUUUUUAAAAAGAGCCUGCUAGGAUUAACUCUGCAAGUUAAUGUCCACUUAAGAUUCUUCAGCUUUUCAAAGCCUUACUAAAUUGUAUUUGUGGACUAAGACCCACACUCAUAGUUAUCAUUUCAGGCAUUCAUCUCUCUGACACGGUACAUAAUGUGGGAUGAUUCUCAGUUGUCAGUCAUUACUACAAGAUGGCAACCAUUUCUUUCCUCCUUUGACACCAGCUAUGAAGGCAAAGGAACUUUUUGUCAGGUGUAGCAUAUAUCAUAUAUCUUAGAAGAAACCCAUGAGUUGCAGUCCAUCCAAUGAAAGGCUGAGAUUCCAUGAAGGUGGAUAUUAACAUUUCUCACUUUACAUUUAUAGGUUGUUAUGGCUAUUCUUAAGGGAUGGAUAUAUACUGGUUUGUGUGUGUCUAGAUGAACUAACUAUAUCUUACCUAAGUGGGUGGUUUAUGUCCUUAUCAAUUGGUUGUAAGUUGAUUGUGCAAAUGUAUUGUUCAUUAAGUAAUUAACAUAUGACUCUGGGUUACAGUUGCUGGGUUACAGUUUGUUGAGUCAUGACUUCACUGGAUUGUUGGGAGUGUGAGAAGAGUCUGUGACAGGAAGCGGUGCUAGGCUAUGGAAUGCUUGGGGCUAGCUUGGCAUGUGGCCACACUAGCAUGGCCCACAGAACAACCCGCUAUGGAGACAGUUUGUGAAAAUGGAUGACAGAGAAACAUCUAGAGCAUGUGAUUGCACCUAGCAUGGGAACUCAUGGGAACCAGUCAUUCACCUUUUAAUUAUUCCACAAGACCCAUGUCUUCCUGAAAGCUCCACCCAUCAAAUAUCCAUUCAUAUGAUCAGUUUUCCACAGUAAUGGAUCCUUUGAAUCUCAAUAGAUUAGCUGAAUGUAUAGAACUAAGUGACCAUGUGACUAUUAUUUAUCUCUCUAUAAAGGAGGUUUUUGCCUUCCAUAUCAGUUGGACAUGAACAUACAGGUGAAGGCCCAUCCAUUCCUGUCCAGGAUGCUAGGUUAGACACUGGUUUGGUAGAAAAUUAAAAGGUGUAUUUCAAGCUCAUUCUGUGCUCAUUAGGAUUAAUUACCUCCACAAGAGAGGACAAUUAUGUUGUUCUCUUUAUUUGGGCUCUGCAUCAGGAAAUCAUUUUAUAAAUACUAUCACAUGACUUAUUCCCUCCAUGUUUAAGAUUCCCUAAAUCAUACAAGCUAAUGUCAAAAUCAAGAUUCAAACUUUUCCAUACUAAAACUGUUCAAAGACUCCUUGCAAAAUACGCAUGUUAACUUAUACUUGGAAGUGCAAACAGUUUCACAGUCUCAAUGCAAUUAGUCUUAUUGUUCUUUGUUUCUGUUAUUACCUUAUUAUGUUCAUAAAAAUGGAUAAAUGGCACAGAAACAGGCAGAUUGUGACUUCGGGAUUCAUUCAUGCGUGUGUUAAGAAGGAGCAGCUUGAACAUUACAAAUGCAGUGGUGGGUUUUGAAGAGCUCUAGCAGCAACAGAAAUCUAUUUGAUGUUCGACAAGCAAACCACUUGGGUGGUACCAUCAUAGAUAGUGAAAUAUUCACAAAGUAUCAUGGGAAUAGGUGCCUUACUGCAUCAGGGGCAAAGACUGUUAUGAUUAAUGUAGUCAGGGGAUUAAUUCCAUUGCAUCUAUAGAUUAAAAAUAUCACUCGGUAUAGCUAUGAGAGCAAAAGCUAGAGAGGUGGUUGUGUGUAUAUAUGUAUCUGUAUAAUGGUUUCAUUGGGCUGAUUUUUGGGCCUAAUUUCCUUCCCUUUCUUCUACAUGGGGAAAAGUUGGAAGUAAAGUAUUCCAAGACAUACUCAACUGGUUAAAGAACAAAUGAAUAGCUUUUUAAAACAAUUUAUAAUGUAAUAUAAGUUAGAAAAUCAAGCAAGAAGUAAUCCAAUGCAUUGGAUUAAUGUUUAGUAUGAAUAUUAACAUAACAUUCUUAAAAUACACCACAGUGGAGUAAGACCACCAGGACAGCUAAAAUCCAUUUUGAAAAACUCUAACCGGCAUAAUUCAGAAGCUGGUAAGAGACUUACAGGAACAUCACCAUGGUGUGUGAAUGUGGAUAAUGUCAGCUCUACCUCCUCUGUGAAGG